CUUAGCAUCAAUUCAAGUUAUUUGUCAUUAUUUUUUUUUAAAUUCCGAACUAUCCCUCUCCCGUUAGUCUAUCAUAUUUCCUGAGUUUUCAAUGAUAGAUAAAUAGCAGCUGAAUCUCCAUAAGUCCAUCAAAUCCUCUUCGACAGUGAAAGUCGCUAAUAAAAUCACUUCCGCAUCAAUUCAAAAAGUCUAAUUUAAUGCACCAUAUCCUUCAUAAAAAUGAUCUAACCCAUAUAAAACCACCAACCCAUAGCUAACACGUGCGAUGUCCUGUCCACCACUCCUUUUGACUACGACACGAUGACAAAACGCAUGUAAAUGAUACACAUACCUAUAUCCAUAUUGACGAACACUGCACAAAUAUUGUUCAAAUGUACGUGCCAUAACAAUCGCAUUUAAAGAUAACAAAAACUGCCCCAACAAAAACCAAAACGAAUAAAAUUAAGUAAACACCAGCAAUAAUAUUAUGUCGAAUAUCCUUAAACUCGUUCCAGGCGAUCAUAAAAUUUCCAUCCACUUUCCCUCCCAAACGAAACAAAAAUCAGUUAAAAUAUAUAUAACGCUCAAACUAGGCUCGGCAAUAACUGUCAAAUAAAUUCUACAUUUAAUGACAGUCAAGUUGACAGUUUAGUCGAUGAUGUGUGUGUCGUGUCAUGCAAAAGGGACUUUCAAAAUGCAUCAGGAUUAAACGAAACAAAAAAAUAUCCUCAUACAGGAAGUGUAUGUUGGUAUAUGUACAUCCACAACACCGGUAAGCCGAUAAUUUGUUCUAGAUCAACGCCCAAUGUUUACCUUUUUGAAUCGAUCUUCUUUUUUAAUGUUCCCGAUUUGUGUGAAUAUGAAAUAAACAAAAAAAAAAUUGUAAAUGUUCGUUAAAUUUAUCAUGACAAGGACAACAAAAUUGCAAUGUUUCAAAAGGACAUUCUCGCUCUGUGUUGUAUGAGUGUAAAAUUCAAAUUGGUUUUUGCCAUAUUGCUCGGUGAGUGAUACACUCUAAGUGCCUAUGCAUCCGGAUAAUUUGAUUGAGUGUCCAGUAGACGAGAAGUAAAUUUAUUAACUUUCAAACAGGAAAUCUGACAGGAUAUAUGUACAUAGGAAGGCAAAAAGGAUGUGUAUUAGUUGAUCGAUUGUAUCUGUCUGUCGGAAGCCAUCAGACGCCUAAUACGAUUAAAAAUAUACCCGCACUUGUUUGGAUAACGCAAUAUUCUAUUAACCCUCAAUGUCAAAAAGCUGGAUAAGGCUUGAAAAUUAACUUGCAGGAGUUGUGAAAGUUUUCCAUUCAGAAAUAGAUUUCAAUUUCCUUAAAGAGGAAAAAAAAAUGAAAAAACCGGAAGAAAAAAAGGAGAUUAUUAUGGCUUCCUUGAAAAGAAGAGAAAAGCCACCACAACACAUAUUUGUGUUCGUCUUCGUCUAUUUGAGUGUUGGCGUGGCGGCAGCAAAAAUCAUAAAUUUAUUAUUUCCGUUCGAUAAAGUUAUCCUUCGCAUUUUAUGUAUUUUUGUCAGACGGAUAUCAAAAUUGGAAAAAAUAAAAUCCUUUUAUUGCUUAUA